rnacentral:rRNA from 1 species
GAUGAACGCUGGCGGCGUGCCUAAUACAUGCAAGUCGAGCGAACGGACGAGAAGCUUGCUUCUCUGGUGUUAGCGGCGGACGGGUGAGUAACACGUGGAUAACCUACCUAUAAGACUGGGAUAACUUCGGGAAACCGGAGCUAAUACCGGAUAAUAUUUUGAACCGCAUGGUUCAAAAGUGAAAGACGGUCUUGCUGUCACUUAUAGAUGGAUCCGCGCUGCAUUAGCUAGUUGGUAAGGUAACGGCUUACCAAGGCAACGAUGCAUAGCCGACCUGAGAGGGUGAUCGGCCACACUGGAACUGAGACACGGUCCAGACUCCUACGGAGGCAGCAGUAGGGAAUCUUCCGCAAUGGGCGAAAGCCUGACGGAGCAACGCCGCGUGAGUGAUGAAGGUCUUCGGAUCGUAAAACUCUGUUAUUAGGGAAGAACAUAUGUGUAAGUAACUGUGCACAUCUUGACGGUACCUAAUCAGAAAGCCACGGCUAACUACGUG